GGAUGACCUUGCUGUAUGGUCAGUCACUCCAUUCAUCACCAGGAUUGAGUUGGCUGAUCUAGCUGACAUAGCAGGUAUUUCAUCCUUGGGCAUCUCUUCCUGAGCUGUGUGCACUGUCAAGGAGGACACACUUCCCAGUCAGCUAUGGGUAUCAUUUUUAACCAAGAAGAAGCCUGAUUAACUAUAUACUUUCUGUUCAAGUAACAAAUUAGUCUCAUCAAAUAGUAUUCUUCCUCAUU
rnacentral:snRNA from 1 species